rnacentral:rRNA from 1 species
GAUGAACGCUGGCGGCGUGCCUAAUACAUGCAAGUCGAGCGAACAGACGAGGAGCUUGCUCCUUCGACGUUAGCGGCGGACGGGUGAGUAACACGUAGGUAACCUACCUAUAAGACUGGGAUAACUUCGGGAAACCGGAGCUAAUACCGGAUAAUAUUUCGAACCGCAUGGUUCGAUAGUGAAAGAUGGCUUUGCUAUCACUUAUAGAUGGACCUGCGCCGUAUUAGCUAGUUGGUAAGGUAACGGCUUACCAAGGCAACGAUACGUAGCCGACCUGAGAGGGGGUCGGGCCACCUUGGACCUGGACACCGGCCCAGCUCCCUAGGGGAGGCAGCGGGAGGGAAUCUUCCGCAAUGGGCGAAAGCCUGACGGAGCAACGCCGGGUGGGUGAUGAAGGGCUUCGGAUCGUAAACCUCUUUUUUUGGGGAAAAAAAAACUUGUAAGUAACGGGGCCCGUUUGAAGGGUACCGAAUCAGAAACCCCGGCUAAAUUCGUG